rnacentral:pre_miRNA from 1 species
CAAGUACUCCCUCCGUCCAGAAUUACUUUUCAUCAAAAUGGAUGUGUCUAGAACUAAAAUACAUCUAGAUACAUCCAUUUCAAUGACAAGUAUUUUCGGACGGAGGGAGUACAAG